CCAUGCAUGCUUAGUAGCGGCGAGUGAAGCGGCAAAAGCUCAAAUUUGAAAUCUGGCACUUUCAGUGUCCGAGUUGUAAUUUGAAGAAGGUAUCUUUGGGUCUGGCUCUUGUCUAUGUUUCUUGGAACAGAACGUCACAGAGGGUGAGAAUCCCGUGCGAUGAGAUGACCCAGACCUAUGUAAAGUUCCUUCGAAGAGUCGAGUUGUUUGGGAAUGCAGCUCUAAGUGGGUGGUAAAUUCCAUCUAAAGCUAAAUAUUGGCGAGAGACCGAUAGCGAACAAGUACAGUGAUGGAAAGAUGAAAAGAACUUUGAAAAGAGAGUGAAAAAGUACGUGAAAUUGUUGAAAGGGAAGGGCUUGAGAUCAGACUUGGUAUUUUGUAUGUUACUCUUUCGGGGGUGGCCUCUACAGUUUACCGGGCCAGCAUCAGUUUGGGCGGUAGGAGAAUUGCAAAGAAAUGUGGCACUGCUUCGGUAGUGUGUUAUAGUCUUUGUCGAUACUGCCAGCCUAGACUGAGGACUGCGGCUUCGGCCUAGGAUGUUGGCAUAAUGAUCUUAAGUCGCCCGUCUUGAACC
rnacentral:rRNA from 1 species